GGAAAUUCGUGUGUGCGUGCGCCAUGAAGACAACGCGCACCUGCUAAUAUCACUUUCCUAUUGAACAUACUUCUUUCCGAAAGAAAUAUUAUAGUUUGAUUACAUUUUAUGGUAUCUGAGGAUUAAAUAGAAAUGUAUUUUGACUUGUUGAAACAAAGUUUAGGGGUAGAUUUUCGGAUUCCUAUCUUGGCAUGUUGAACGAGUGGAUUACUCAAAUCGAUGGUGCCAACUAAACAGACUUUUUGGGAUAUAAAGAAGGAUUUUAUCUAACAAAACGACACUACAUGUUAUAGCUGGGACCCUUUUGAUGACAAAUCAGAGGAAGAUUUUCAAAAAAGACCGAGCUGAUCAAGGGGUCGAAAAUGUAGAUAUUGCCAGAUGUUCACUGUCCGAGGAACAGGCCGUGGAAGCUUUAUUGCUGGCAAAACUAUCCAUAACCAGAGGUUAUAUCAGCUGUUUUGGUGAACCCCUCCUGCAUCUGAACUGGCUGACAC
rnacentral:lncRNA from 1 species